rnacentral:rRNA from 1 species
GACGAACGCUGGCGGCGUGCCUAAUACAUGCAAGUCGAACGCAGUGGGGACGGGUGAGUAACACGCGGGUAACAUCCCAUCAGUGGGGAUAACACUUGGAAACAGGUGCUAAACCGAUACUGAUGGAUGGACGCGCGGUGAAUUAGCUAGUUGGUGAGGUAACGGCUCACCAAGGCCACGAUGCAUAGCCGCCCUGAGAGGGUGAUCGGCCACACUGGGACUGAGACACUGCCCAGACUCCUACGGGAGGCAGCAUUAGGGAAUCUUCGGCAAUGGACGAAAGUCUGACCGAGCAACGCCGCGUGAGUGAAGAAGGUUUUCGGAUCGUAAAACUCUUUUGUUCGAGAAGCGGUAUCUAACCAGAAAGCCCCGGCUAACUACGUGCCAGCAGCCGCGGUAAUAC